CCUACGGGUGGCAGCAGUGAGGAAUAUUGGUCAAUGGACGAGAGUCUGAACCAGCCAAGUAGCGUGAAGGAUGACUGCCCUAUGGGUUGUAAACUUCUUUUAUAUGGGAAUAAAACGUUCCACGUGUGGGAUUUUGUAUGUACCAUAUGAAUAAGGAUCGGCUAACUCCGUGCCAGCAGCCGCGGUAAUACGGAGGAUCCGAGCGUUAUCCGGAUUUAUUGGGUUUAAAGGGAGCGUAGGUGGAUUGUUAAGUCAGUUGUGAAAGUUUGCGGCUCAACCGUAAAAUUGCAGUUGAAACUGGCAGUCUUGAGUACAGUAGAGGUGGGCGGAAUUCGUGGUGUAGCGGUGAAAUGCUUAGAUAUAACGAAGAACUCCGAUGGCGAAGGCAGUUCACUGGACUGCAACUGACACUGAGGCUCGAAAGUGUGGGUAUCAAACAGGAUUAGAUACCCCGGUAGUC
rnacentral:rRNA from 1 species